UAAUACAUGCAAGUCGAACGAACUCUGGUAUUGAUUGGUGCUUGCAUCAUGAUUUACAUUUGAGUGAGUGGCGAACUGGUGAGUAACACGUGGGAAACCUGCCCAGAAGCGGGGGAUAACACCUGGAAACAGAUGCUAAUACCGCAUAACAACUUGGACCGCAUGGUCCGAGUUUGAAAGAUGGCUUCGGCUAUCACUUUUGGAUGGUCCCGCGGCGUAUUAGCUAGAUGGUGGGGUAACGGCUCACCAUGGCAAUGAUACGUAGCCGACCUGAGAGGGUAAUCGGCCACAUUGGGACUGAGACACGGCCCAAACUCCUACGGGAGGCAGCAGUAGGGAAUCUUCCACAAUGGACGAAAGUCUGAUGGAGCAACGCCGCGUGAGUGAAGAAGGGUUUCGGCUCGUAAAACUCUGUUGUUAAAGAAGAACAUAUCUGAGAGUAACUGUUCAGGUAUUGACGGUAUUUAACCAGAAAGCCACGGCUAACUACGUGCCAGCAGCCGCGGUAAUACGUAGGUGGCAAGCGUUGUCCGGAUUUAUUGGGCGUAAAGCGAGCGCAGGCGGUUUUUUAAGUCUGAUGUGAAAGCCUUCGGCUCAACCGAAGAAGUGCAUCGGAAACUGGGAAACUUGAGUGCAGAAGAGGACAGUGGAACUCCAUGUGUAGCGGUGAAAUGCGUAGAUAUAUGGAAGAACACCAGUGGCGAAGGCGGCUGUCUGGUCUGUAACUGACGCUGAGGCUCGAAAG
rnacentral:rRNA from 1 species